ACUUACGGCCAUACCAUCCUGAAUACGCCUGAUCUCGUCUGAUCUCGGAAGCUAAGCAGGGUCGGGCCUGGUUAGUACUUGGAUGGGAGACCAACUGGGAAUACCAGGUGCUGUAAGUG
ensembl:rRNA 5S_rRNA 5S ribosomal RNA